UACGGAGGAUCCAAGCGUUAUCCGGAUUCAUUGGGUUUAAAGGGUGCGUAGGCGGAAUGAUGAGUCAGUGGUGAAAUCUCAGAGCUUAGCUCUGAAACUGCCAUUGAUACUGUCAAUCUUGAGUACAUUUGAUGUGGGCGGAAUGUGUCAUGUAGCGGUGGAAUGCUUAGAUAUGACACAGAACACCGAUUGCGAAGGCAGCUCACAAAACUGUAACUGACGCUGAGGCACGAAAGCGUGGGUAUCAAACAGG
rnacentral:rRNA from 1 species